GGGGGCGGGGCGGGCCGGCGCUGCCUGCCGCAGCAGCGCGGUCUGCGAUUGGUUGGCGCGGGGUGAUGGGCGGGCCUCUGCGUGGGGCGUGAAGCAGGGUCGCUGUCAUGCUCUAAACACCCUGAGCUACCGAGUGUGACGGAAGGUGAAAAAGGAGCUCCAAAGACUGGAGGGGAUUGCUGGAAAGUGAGCUGAGUGUUCUGGAAGGGCUGGCUGUGGCCCGCCAUGUUUGAACCUGGCAAAAGCGAAAGGAUCUGGUGGGAACAUCUUCCUCCUGCCCGAACUAAUAAAACCACGCGCCAACCUUCUGCUUUUUAUUGGCUAGUGAUGACCGAUCAGAAAAAUUUUUAAGUACUUCUCAAGUUUCUGCCUUGGAGACACAGAAGUCUGGAACGUGCGCAGAAGAACAGAUUACUGAACAGAAAACAAUUAUGGAAAUGGUCCAAAUGAUUCUGAAUUUUAAGAGCAAAUGGUGGCAACAAUGAAUUCAUCACCACAUAGGAAACCACCAAUGAGACUUUGCUUUAGUCAAAGCGGGCAGCCUCCUUUGAACUGGAAGUGAAUUGGAAGGAAAAUUCGCAGGUUGACUUUAGAAGUUAAAAAACUAUCUAUUUCCUUCCAAGAGUAAACUAUGCCAAGGGAGGAGAAGGAAGUGAUUUUAUAUCAGAGAUGCCUGGCAAACACAAGGUGAUCAAGGUCAACGUCAACAAUGAUAAGUCAGACAACUCAAUGUUGAAAUGGCUCUCUGUUUAGAGCCCAGUGACAUGUUUAUGGUCAGGCAAAGAAAAGAUGCCUUCAGAGAGAGCCACAUGGAGGAGGCACUGUCUGAACUGGAGAUGGCCUGACUGGAGAAGACCUCUGCCUACUCACUGCUGCCUGCUUUUCCAGAUCUCAGGAUGCAUGGUGAUUCCUCUAGAUGCUCUAACUUGACUCCUGAUGCUAAAUUAUUUGCCGUUGCUAAAUUCUCUCACCUAAUCUUGAAGCUGGUUUUCAUUACAUAGCUCUAUCGUUGGGAAAUUGUUUGAUGUCUUCUUUUCUCAUUAGACAUGGAAAUUCUCUGAGAAUAGAUUCCAUAUCUGUCAUGUUCACUGACAUUUCUCAAUCACUUAGCAUAACAAUUGGCAUAUAAUGUACUCUCAGUAAAUUUUUUUGAAUGAAACUAAA